rnacentral:lncRNA from 1 species
GGAAGAGGGGUGGCUCAGGGAGUGUCGGAGAAGUCUUUCCUGGGAUUUUCCGGCCGAAGGCUUUCGUACAAUUGGACUACCGCCAUGUUUGCCUGGCAGAGAACUGCCUUCCAUUUCCAGCCUGAGAAGAAUUGGAUGAAUGGUAGGUCGCCUUCUUUUUUCUCUCUCUCUUUUUCCAACUACACUUCCCACAUUUUUCAAAUGGUACGAAUAUUUAGCAUUUUAAUUUUUUUUUACAUCAUUUUAGAAAUGCACUUUGUCAAAUGCUUCCUUUGAUCUUUAUGAGUGUCUCAGUGGCUUUUCAUGCAAUUUUUUUUAUAUAUAAUUAGAGAUAUUAUUAACUUAUUAUAAUGAUUAAUAAAUUAAUAAUUUUUAUUAAAUUUCAAGUAUUGAUAUUAUUUUUUAAAAUAUUUUUAAUUUUAUAAAAAAUUAUACCCUAUAUUUUAACAUAUCAUGUUUUUUUUUUUUUACAAAAUUAAGAAUAAGUAUACAUUAAAUCAAUUAAUUUUAAAAAAAUUAAAAAUUUUAUUUUUUAUUUUUAAUUACUUAUUUAAAUACAGUAAUGUAGAAAAAAAAUCAUAUGACAUGUAUGUAAAAAAGAGCAAAAAAAAAAAAAAAAAAGCAUUUGGGAAGAGUUUUUUUUUUUUUUUUUUUUAAUUUGAAGAGAAGGGUUGAACAUGAUUUUAUUUAUUUAUUUAUUUUGAGGGGAUGUAUCUGGAUAGAAGAAGCCAACUGUAAAUGGAACUUCCCUUGUAUUUGGCUUGAAUUUUCUUUUAUAGUUUUAUUUUAUAAUUUAUGAGUUCUUGUACUUACAAUCGUAUUGUCAUUUGUCAUUUCUGAUUGGCGUUUGGUGCGUGGGAAUAUGGAAUUCUUGCCCUGCUUCAGAUCCUGACGGUGAGUUCUUUCAAAUCCCUCUUAAUUUUCUCUUGCUUUCAUCAUGCACCUCCCAAAAAAUGCAUUAUUUAUUGUAGUUUGGCAAACACGUCUUUAACUAGCGGGGUUCCCUGUAUUUUAGUUUUUAGUUUUUCUAAUUUUAAAAAUAUAUAAAUGAUACAAAUUGUUACGUUUGGUUAAGGACCUAACUGAUCAGGUGUUCAUUAUUAUUUUUUAUUCAACUAGCCCGACCUGGUCCAAAUUCCAGACCGUCAGAUCAGGGGACUUUGUUGUCAGAAAAAGGAAUUUUAUGCAAUGUCAACAGAGACGGCAAGAGAUCUGACGGUCGAGAAUGAUUGUAGGGAAUGGCCAAUGGGGGGUGGUGGAGUAGUACGGCGUUCCUGGAGGGGCACCAAUAAUGAAUACAGAAUGCGACAAAAGGAUAGGGACAUACCUUUUGGAAUCGAGGACCAAUAAGGAGAGAGAUGGGUUGGCAUUCUGUGGUUGGUUGGAUCCUCAAUGUGGGCCCCUCCACAUGUCACAUCUACGCCUGGAAGUUUGUGGUGGACAUUUGGUAGGUCUGGACUUUAGGGCCAUCAUUUUAGAAAUUAGAAGUAAUUUCAUUUCAAUUUCCUUAUUUGUUCUUCACUCUUAGUCUUAGACGCAAUUUCACCAUUUUAUUUAUUUAUAUAUUUAUUUUAUUUGUAUUUAAAAUUACCUUUCUGGGGCACAGAAGACAUACUAUUUUUAUUAUUAUAAUUUUUUAAUUUUAGGCAUUGUACAAAUACAUUAAAUGCACCUUCCUCAUUUAUUUGCUUUCACGGGUGACAACACGAGGCUGUCUUCCACGUGAUUUCUUCAAUGAGCCACUCCAUAUUUUCAACCGUUAUGACAUUUUAUAAUAGGCAAUAAACUCCAAUUUGAUGGGAAAAUAUCGGGUGUUUGCAGGACCACUGUUCCACAUGGGAUGGUACCACCUCUUCUACCAGUACAAUCCUGAUUCAGCAGUGUGGGGGAACAUCACGUGGGG